rnacentral:lncRNA from 1 species
GGAAUAAGAAAUAAUGUAAGGAACAUUUAUUAAAUAAAAAUAAUGGUGCAUGCCUUAGGCAAUCAUGAGCCCCCGUCAAAUCAUGGGUUUAAUGAUUACAAACUUUAAUUUGCUCUCCCUUUCAGUUAAUCAUACUGAUCAUCUAUGGAUUAUGAUCCAUCACAACAAAUGUGACCAACUUUUCUACUUUUGACCAGUAUAAUUAACUAGCUAGCUGAUGCAUGUUAAUGCAUUAGCUAACUAGUUACAAAGGUGCAGAGGUGCAUCCCCAUCCCCGUUUCAAAAGCAGCAGCAACAACAGUAUCAACAUCAGCAACAACAGGCAGCCAACAGCAUCAGCAUCAGCAUCAACAGCAAUAAGCAGCAACAACAUCAAUCCUCUAUAUCUCCUCUUGAAGUCAAGGCUACCUUACUAAUUUGAUAAUCUGCAAAAGUUCAUCAACAACUUUUGUAGGAAUUCAUCAUUCAUAAACCGUCAUUGAUAUUUAGAAUCAUUAAUCAAUUACAACAUGAACUAAAAUAUCAUUAUAAUAGAUUACACAGUACUAAAAUUACCUUCUUUGUCCAAGAUGAAUACGUUUAUGAAUGCAACUAUCUUAUAUGAGUUCUAAGGUGAGAAGUACCGUUAUUAGUUUCUCUACUCAAUAACUUACGACACCCCCACCAACUAAAAUCCUAAUAAAAUGAGGGCCAUACAUCACUCUUAAGACCCCUAGGAACCUUAAUUCCUCCAAUUUCAUUCUCAAUUUCAGCAGCAUGAUUAACAACAGCAAGAGCAGGAGCAUUUGCCUGAUUUGGUUGACCAACAGCAGGAUUAACAGCAGCAUUAACAGCGAUAGGGUUACCUCCAGCAGGUGCAAGGAUGAAGUUCUGAAUGUUUUUGAUGUUGCCGUCUCCCUCUAUUACGAUCGAGCAAUAGAUCAAUAGUCAAUACCUGAAAUCAUGUAGAAACAAACCGACAAAGUUAAUAAGUAAUAAGCUUAAUAACAUAGACAUCUAUGCUGGAAAGCAAGAACAAACGAAAAACUUACCCAAGUAUGAAGCGAAACAGGCUAGACAAAGGAAGAUGGAAAUCGACAGAGAUUUACGGUUGCUGUGUUGGUUGUUAAUUUGACUUUGGGAUGUAGAUUGCAGAGCACAAUCACACUAUUUAUAGGCGGUACAAACCUUCGUAUGAAGAAGAAGAAGAAGAAGGAAAGAAGGAAGUAGAUAUCGGGGAUACCCGAUAAUUGGAUGUAGUGAUUUUCGCCGAAUUAACAUCAAAAUCAUCUAGGUUUGCCGAAAAGACAACUAGAUGAGUUGAUAAUGAUUAAUGAUAGAGACAGAGAGUGAAGAUCGGAAGAAGAAACGGCAAGAUAAUCUUUGAAAUCGAAGGAUUCUAGAGUUUUCUUGAUGAAGGGCAAAACAGCGAAGAAGGGAGAAGUAAAUAUUCAGAAUCGAAGAAAAUGAGUGGAAGUUUUAUCCUCAUUAGGCCGAAAUAUUUGUUUUAUUUACGGGUAUAGAACGACAUCAUUUUAAAUUGGAAACGGUGACGGAUUGGGGACCCUGAUAUCCAUCAUCACCCAUCUC